UACGGGGGGGGGCAAGCGUUGUCCGGAAUCAUUGGGCGUAAAGAGCGUGUAGGCGGCUCGGUAAGUCCGCUGUGAAAGUCCAGGGCUCAACCCUGGAAUGCCGGUGGAAACUGUCGAGCUCGAGUCCGGAAGAGGCGAGUGGAAUUCCUGGUGUAGCGGUGAAAUGCGCAGAUAUCAGGAGGAACACCAAUGGCGAAGGCAGCUCGCUGGGACGGUACUGACGCUGAGACGCGAAAGCGUGGGGAGCAAACAGG
rnacentral:rRNA from 1 species